ACAUUAUACUUAGUGAAAUAAGCCAGUCACAGAAUGACAAACACUGCAUGAUUUCACUUAUAAGGUACCUAAAACAGUCACAAAGUAUAGAAGAUGACAAUAGAAUGUUGGUUUUCGGGGGUUGGGGGUAGGAGAACAUGAGGAGUUGUUAUUCAGUGGGUGUAAAGUUAGACUUACACAAGAUGAGUAUGUUCCAGAGACCUGCUGUAGAACAGAGUGCCUAUAGAUAACAAGAAGGUAUUGUGUACUGGAAAUUUGUUAAGAGGGUAGAUCUCAUCUUUCUUACCUUGCAUACACACACGCACACACACACACGCACACGCACACACACACGCACACACACACACUAAAAGGGCACAAGAAAACUUUUAGAGGUGAUGUUUGGUAAUAAACAUUACCUAGAUUGUGGUGAAGGUAACACAAGUGUGUACAUAUGUUCAAACUCAUCUAUUUGUAUUUAUUAAUUAUGUACAGUUUUUAAUAUCAAUUAUACCUUAGUAAAGCUGGAGGGGGCAAGUCAAACAUCAAAAAUGGAGUCAGACUCUCUAUUACAGGGAAGGUUAAAACCCCCUGCCCUUUCUUAGCCCAAAGAAGGCUCUGGCUGCUCCUUGGUAUGAGCUCUGACAGAAAAUCUUCAGCUAAAAGUCAUGUAUGUAGCCUUCCUGAGUCAUGUAAAUGCAGCUAAAUGCAGCGUCAACAGGGUCCUUCAAGGCUUAGAAAGACUAAUCAGAAAGGUACUUUACUCCUGCUUGAGAAAAGGCAAAAGUUAGUUGCUGAGAGGUGGGACAAAGUCUUGGUCUAUGGUGGUGGGCACACGAGUGGGUCCUGCUCAGCCUCCAUGGUUGUGCCACGCCCGCGGAAGUGGCCCUGCGUGGACCAGAAAGUGAUUUCUCAGAGCUCUGGUAAUAACUGUAGUAGUGACUUCUUAGGAAGUUGCCAGUGAGCGUGUCCAAGGACUUGGCUUUUUCCCGCUGUAGGGAAGGGCUCUGGAGCAGCUGCACGGGGACCUCAGCUUUCACCGCCAUGCCCAGGCCUUGGCCUUCAGGGAUAGCCUUGUCACCCUUACCCUCCACCAUAGACUGCAAGAAAUUCAUGAGCACCUUCAGACCACCUUUGCUGCUUCACCUCCCUACUCUUUGUCCUUAGAAGAGAGACCUAGACUCCUAACCCACGUGACUCCGUGGGGUUGCUGUAACACUGCCCACCACAGCCAGAACCUCUUCUGCCUCAAGCCUACUGCUCUCCCACGUCUGCCAUGGGCCAAGGGCUGGGGAGCAGUGAGGGCAGAAAGAGCUCUCACUUGGAGGGCGCUGGCCAGACUUACGUGGGAGAGAGGGCACUUCCUGGGUGUGACUCUUGGAAAGGGCAACUGCUACUCAUGACUCAAGAGUCACUCAUGGCUGCAACAGAACUUGUAACCUAAUCUGGCUUCUGCACGCCAGAAAGAUUCCCUCAGCAGACAGAACAUCCCACCUCAGUCAACACAUACAACUGGGACAGGCUAGCUUUAAUUCCUCUUCCUCGAGACAGUAGUGACCUUAAUAUACUCAGGAUCCCGUGGAUACAUAAUGGAGGGAGCUGGAGCUCAGAGAGGUCUAUCUCCAUGGACCCAUGUCAGGGUGUACAGCUUUUACUGAGGGCAUGCUCUGCCUGGCAGCAUGAUGAAAGUACUGAUAAAACUGUCUCCUGGACUGGACAAGCAGCAGGAAGUUGUGGGAUGUGGACAAGAACAGACAUAAGGAAGAGCCUUGAAUUUGGAAGGAGGCUGACCUGGAUAGCUCAGUUUCUCAGGUAUAAGUGAGACACUUGUCCAGUGCAUCCCCAAGCUGCAGAGGACACACAUCAAGUUCUCAGAAUCGUCUCACUGAAGCCCCUAUCACCAUGUUGAGGUGAGAGGUAGGCACCCAUCAGGUUAGAAAGGGACUCAAAGCCACACAGCUCUCUCCAAAUAAAAUCUCUUUCUGCUUAUCUCCAAAUCCUAAACUUUGUAUGUCUUCAGUUUGGGUGAGAGAGGGUUAAGACUCUCAAAUCAGUUUUCAGAACCUUCUUUAAAAAUUCUACCCAUGGGAAGUAUUUGCCCAAGAAGUUUCAUUAUACCCUCUGUGCUAUGGAGAUUGUGAAGGUUCUGGUAAUGCAUGUGGAGGGCAAGCAGGUGUGAUUUCAGCCGUGUGUGGUAACAGUUGGGGGUACGGGUAGUGAAGAGAGUUGAUAGACUGGCUGCCUUCCCUUCUCUAAAACUGAGAUUCAGUAUCACUUUCUGAUUAUAUAAUUUUGCAAACUAUUUCACGUCUCUAGGCCUCAGUUUCUUUGGCUGUGAAAUGCCCUGCCUUCCCAGCUGACUGCUCAGAAACUACAUGAUAGUGGGUGAGUAACAUGCUCUACAAAUACAAUAAUAAGCUUUUUUUCCCUCCUGCCCCAGAGCCUGUGCCCCUUUCCUAGAUCCUGGCCGACUAAGUAUCCAUCACACCAGGAUGGUGCAAUGUCACCCUGGAGUGCAGGGCCACAGAGGACCUGAAGGUGACCUGGGUAAGCAAGGGCCUCCCCAGGGAGCUAGAACAGAGGAACACUGGGACCAAGCUCUGAGCCUGCCCCUAAGCCAGACUGACUCCAGCCUCACCUGUGUGGUCAACAACCAUGUGGACCAGAAAACUACCACCUUAGACCUUGGGGAACUCUCUUGGGAUUAAGAGCGUGCCUGGCAAAGUGAGUGUGCCCACCUCUGUGGACAUUCAUUUCCCAGGAGAUUGGGGGUAUGGUAGGUUGGUGCUCAUCAUUGUCAAGUAGUAUGAUUCCAACCUCCCCAGCCCUUGGGACAGUACCAGAUGAGAUGGGAAUCAGAGAUAAUAAAGGUUGGCAUAUGACCCAGGAAAUUAUGGGAGGAGGUACGACGGCUGUACCAGGCACUGAUGUUUACCUCUGCUCUGCUCUAAAUCCCACUUGAAGGGCCACUGAGUAGACAAGGAAUCAUAUUUGUAAUGAGCAAAUAAGGAGAGGUAGGUUUUGACUCAUGAUAUUAGAGGAGAGUUUUCUAUAGUCAGUCAUCCAAAACUGGAAUAGAUGCUUUGGGGCACAGUGACCUCAUGUCACUGGUGGAGUGUAACUACAGGUAAAAUCACUUGGUGGGUAGUUAUAAAGCUCAGAAUGGGGUCAGACUCCCUAAUGAGUUUUCUUCCAACAUGGACAUUCUUAGAUUCUAGGAAAACUUCUUGGCAAAAUCAGAUUAUUUUGAGCCCUAAAGUCCCAGUUUCUCCAGAACCAUCAGCUGGAGUAGAGUGCCUUCUGUUGAGGUGAUACACCACAGGGAGCAUGGCCAGCCCAGGAUCCAUCACCCCGAAGCUUCUCACGCCCUCUCUGUUUCUGACCCAACAGAGACUACAACUCUAUUCUUAUUUCCAUUAUUGUGGACGAUACUGGCAAAAGCUCUUCUGUUCCUCAGCCUCCUUGGGAAGCUGGAAAUGGAGCUCACCAAGGAAAAUCUCCAGCAGAAGAAGGGAAAUUACAAGUGUCCAAGCAGGCUGGACAACUAGGUUGGGACUUUAUUUCCUUUUUCAUGCUUUGUCAAGUUUUCUGAAUCAUAAAUGAAUGCUUUCUAUCUUCUGCCAAGUUAAAAAAAAAAUUGCUAGCACAAAAAUUAUCUAUUCUUUAAAGAUGUGAGGAAUUCACAUUAGGCUUUGUGAAUAGGCUUUGCCUUUUAUGUCAUCAAAGGAGAAAACACUUAUGUAAGUUUUAUAAUAUUUUCUAUGUUCAUUUUUAAAGUUUAUACACACAUGUAGAUCAAUUUUAUCAAAUCAUAUUUUUCUAGAAAUUGUCCAUUUAAUAAAGAUUUAAAAUGGAAUAGACAUUAAUUAUGCACUAUAUUCUCUUAAGAGUUUUUCUUGUUAUUAUUGUUGUUUGGCUGUUUUAAAUAUGAGAGGAUCUUGCUGAAAGGGUAAGUGAUAAAUUAGGUGAUGUUUCCAGCCCUGAGAGCCACAGAAUUCCAUUAACCAGUUUAUAGCUUUUCUCUUUUAGUCUAUUUGCAAAAGCUAUUUGGUGGCUCACCUGGUGGCAGGUGGUGUAUUGAGGGAGUGUCUUCACCCUCCACAUCCUCUACUACAAUUUGGAAAUGACAGAAAUAAGGGUAGAUGUUUUGGAGGGAUUUUUUUUUUACUUUUGGAGAUUAAAUAAAACACUAUAUAUCUGGAUCACGGGAGAGAUAUAGUAAUUCCAGUUGAGAUCAAGGCAAGUCUUAAUCUCACAUAUGCACGUGACCAAAGAAAGAAUGUCAAUCAGAAGGAUGGUUAAUAAGAAAUGUGGCGUAAAGGGAGAUGAGUGACAGAGGCAAAGGAAGUGCUCCAACAGGCUGGCAGGAGAAUCCCAUGCCCCGGGCAGGUAAGUCCUACCACGGAUAUGGAGAGCUCAGAUGAGAAGGCCACUGGGAUCCAUUCCGGCAGCAUCUGCUUACCUGCCCUGACUCAGGGCUUCCCAUGUGGUCCAGUGGUAACUCGGCUUCCAAUGUGGCCUAUCUUUGGGAAGAGGAUGCCCUGGUCAAGCUAACAGGGAUAUCUAGCCCAGUUAGCAAGUGUACUUCUCACUGUAAAUUAAUAAAUAAGCAUUCUGGUUUUGUUUACCAGUGUCUUUUAACAUUUAUUAUCAAGAUUUUGCAUCCCCAAGGCAAAAGGGCAAUGGAUGAAAUGGAGAUUCUGGGUUUUGGCUAAGAAUCUACAUGUCAGACUCUGAACACAUGGUGAACACA